rnacentral:lncRNA from 1 species
AUGGGAAAAGGUUUCUACAUCAGCAAGCACCUGGCCAUAGCAGCUGUACUGCUGGCUGCAGCAGCUUUAGCCACCAUCGUAGCGUUAUCUAUAGUUUACUCUAAAGAAAAGGCCAAAAAGUCACAUCAGGUCAGCGAUGGACCAACAUCACGCAUGCCUCCCACUACACCACUAUCUAAUGAGCCCUGGGACAAAUACAGACUCCCCAACACCCUGAAGCCUCAGUUUUACAAUAUAAGUCUGUGGCCGAGGCUCAGCAUAGACGCUAAGGGUAUGUACGUUUUCACCGGCAGUUCUGGAGUAGCUUUCACAUGUGAGAAAGAGACGGAUCUGAUCAUCAUUCACUGCCACAAGCUCAACCUGACUCUUUUUGAUGGACGCCACGCAAAGCUAACAGGCAUGCAGGGAGCAACGGCUCCAGCCAUCAAGAAAACUUGGUUCCAGUUGGAAACGCAAUACUUGGUGGUUCAGCUGAAGGGGAGGCUAAAGCCAGGAAAAGCCUACUGGCUUUAUACCGAGUUCAGAGGAGAGCUGACGGAUGACCUGCAGGGAUUCUACAGGAGCGAGUAUGAAGAGGACGGGGUAAAAAAGUACGGCGUUUUUGAUGACAUUAGCAAAAGUGAAAUUUCAUCUCACAAAAACCUUCAAAUGGAUGGAAUUGAUGUUAUUAAAACUGUAUUUGAGCCCACAAAGACGAUGUCUACAUAUCUGGUCGCGUUUGUUGUCAGUGACUUUACUUACACCAGCAAACAAACAGACAGCAAGGAUGUUCGUAUUUGGGCAAGACAAAAGGCUAUUGGAGAAGGUCAAGGUGACUAUGCCCUGAGCAUCACCCAGCCAAUACUGAAGUUCUUUGAGAAGUAUUACAGCACCAACUAUCCACUCUCUAAAUCAGACCAGAUUGCACUGCCUGACUUUAAUGCUGGAGCCAUGGAAAACUGGGGUCUCGUCACCUACAGGGAAACGUCUCUGCUCUAUGAUCCCAAAACCUCGGCCAACGGCAACAAGCAGAGAAUUGUGAUUGUGGUUUCUCAUGAGCUCGCUCAUAUGUGGUUUGGAAACCUGGUGACUCUGAAGUGGUGGAACGACUUGUGGCUAAACGAGGGAUUUGCUUCAUAUGUGGAGUACCUUGGUGCAGACUAUGCAGAGCCAACCUGGAACAUUAAAGAUCAGAUCAUACUGUAUGAUAUUUACCGCGCGUUUGCUGUGGAUAGCCUGGUCUCCUCUCACCCGCUGUCCUGCAAAGAGGAGGAGGUCAACAAGCCAGCGGAGAUCAGCCAAAUGUUCAACACCAUAUCUUACAGCAAGGGGGCUGCGGUGCUCAGGAUGCUCUCUGAAUUCCUGACUGAGCCGAUCUUCGCUAAGGGGCUCAGUACGUACCUGAACCAGUUUGCUUAUGGGAACUCUGUGUAUUCAGAUCUGUGGGAUCAUCUUCAGAAGGCCGUAGAGAAAACCCCACAUCUGAAGCUGCCGCACAGAGUGCAUGACAUCAUGAAUCGCUGGAUUCUGCAGAUGGGUUUCCCAGUGGUCACCAUUGACACCCAAACAGGAAAUGUGAGCCAGAAGCACUUCCUGUUGGAGCCAAACUCUGUGGUGGAAAGACCGUCUGAGUUCAAUUAUGAGUGGUUUAUACCAAUCAAGUGGAUGAAGAAAGGGGUAGAACAAGAUCAGCUGUGGCUUCUUCAGAAAUCAGGUGAUUGGGUUUUGGCCAACACUAAUGUUUCUGGAUACUACAGAGUCAACUACGACCCUGAGAACUGGGAGCGCCUCCUGAAACAACUGAGCUCCAACCAUCAGGUAAUACCACUGAUAAACAGAGCCCAGAUACUGGAUGAUGCCUUUAACCUGGCUAGGGCAUCCAUCAUUAACAUAACUCUCGCUCUGAGAACCACCAAAUAUCUCUCGCUGGAGAGAGAGUAUAUUCCAUGGGAGGCGGCUCUGAGAAGUCUCAACUCAUUAUUCCUCCUGUUUGAUCGCAGUGAAGUUUAUGGGCCCAUGCAGGCCUACCUCAGAAAACAGGUCAAGCCUCUGUUUGAUUAUUUUGCCAGUGUUACUGAAAACUGGGCGACUGUGCCUCCAGGCCACAACGAUCAGUUCUCACAGAUCAUCGCACUGUCACUGGCGUGUAAAACCGGGGUGCAGGGCUGCCGUGAACUCACCAAAACCUGGUUCAGACAAUGGAUGCAGGAUCCUAAUAAUAAUGAGAUUCACCCCAACCUGAGGUCCACAGUGUACUGCUAUGCUAUAGCUACUGGAGGAGUAGAGGAGUGGGACUUCACCUGGAAGAUGUUCAAGAAAGCGACAGUAGCAGCCGAAGCGGUUAAACUGCGCGCAGCUUUGUCCUGCACCAGAGAGCCCUGGUUACUCAACAGAUUCCUUGAAUACACUUUGGAUCCUAAUAAGAUCCGGAAGCAGGAUGCCACUUCCACAAUCGGAGCCAUCGCUAGUAACGUUGUUGGUCAGCCUCUGGCCUGGAACUUCGUCCGGAUAUUUUUCUUUUCCUAUACCAAUUUGUAG